GACGAAGGGUGUAUGGGGUAAUCGGAAUUACUGGGCGUAAAGCGCGCGUAGGUGGUUCGUUAAGUUGGACGUGAAAGCCCCGGGCUCAACCUGGGAACUGCAUCCAAAACUGGCGAGCUAGAGCAUGGCAGAGGGUGGUGGAAUUUCCUGUGUAGCGGUGAAAUGCGUAGAUAUAGGAAGGAACACCAGUGGCGAAGGCGACCACCUGGGCUAAUACUGACACUGAGGUGCGAAAGCGUGGGGAGCAAACAGGAUUAGAUACCCGUGUAGUCC
rnacentral:rRNA from 1 species